CCAUAAACAAACAGGUUUUCUAAUAAAAUUCGUCUGAAUAUUUCCCUUUGUUUUGAGCAGAGCUUUAAGGGAAAGCUGUUCGUGGUUGAUGAAGAAACCCAUGCAAAGUUGGACAAACUUGAGGACCAUCCUACUUUGUGUGUCCUUCAAGUGCACAGUUUUAAAAGUAUUGAUGGCAACAUUCUUGAAGGAUGGUUCUGCUUAAAAAAUAUAAGCCCAAAAGGCUAGAACAUGAAUUUACGAAUCUUGUUCUACUGAAGGCAAACAUGGGAGUGGUGUGUGGUUGUUAAUUCUUGAUUGAGGACUCAACACAGUUGAUCAGACCAAAUCACACUAACUUUCCAGCACACAGAGCGAGACAUUAUUAUGUAAGGAAAUUUAUCGAUGUGCUUUCUUUAGAUUGUGGACUAUAGCGUGCAUUGACUUAGCUAUCUUACUGGUAAACCACGAAAAUACUAUGCGUAGACAAAACCGUCACGUACCACGCUGCUGAGUGCCCAUAAUGUAAACAAGCAGGACAGACCGGCAAUUGAAGAUUGAUAGCUGAAAACUGGCAGAGUAGCAUUAAACACAGCACUGACAGUAAAAGGUCGAAUUGGUCGAACACUGCCUUACACAGGCAAAACAAGUAAAUGCCUAAACUUGGAUCUCUUCAACCCACGCAAUUAUCUUACCAUCAAACCCUGGGAGAAUCAUGUUAUCAUCUGCAAUCUGUGAAACAUAAAUUAAGUUAUUUUACGCCUCUUGAUAUUGGUAAGGAUAAAUUCUAAUUCAAUACCUCC